UACGUAGGGUGCGAGCGUUAAUCGGAAUUACUGGGCGUAAAGCGUGCGCAGGCGGUUCGUUAAGACAGAUGUGAAAUCCCCGGGCUUAACCUGGGAACUGCAUUUGUGACUGGCGAGCUAGAGUAUGGCAGAGGGGGGUAGAAUUCCACGUGUAGCAGUGAAAUGCGCAGAUAUCAGGAGGAACACCAAUGGCGAAGGCAGCUCGCUGGGACGGUACUGACGCUGAGACGCGAAAGCGUGGGGAGCAAACAG
rnacentral:rRNA from 1 species